CCUACGGGAGGCAGCAGUGGGGAAUAUUGCACAAUGGGGGGAACCCUGAUGCAGCAACGCCGCGUGGGUGAAGAAGUACUUCGGUAUGUAAAGCCCUGUCAGCAGGGAAGAAAAUGACGGUACCUGACCAAGAAGCCCCGGCUAACUACGUGCCAGCAGCCGCGGUCAUACGUAGGGGGCAAGCGUUAUCCGGAUUUACUGGGUGUAAAGGGAGCGUAGACGGAAAGGGAAGGCUGGAGUGAAAGCCCGGGGCUCCACCACGGGACUGCUUUGGAAACUGUGUUGCUGGAGUGCAGGAGGGGUAAGCGGAAUUCCUGGUGUAGCGGUGAAAUGCGUAGAUAUUAGGAGGAACACCGGUGGCGAAGGCGGCUUACUGGACUGUAACUGACGUUGAGGCUCGAAGGCGUGGGGAGCAAACAGGAUUAGAUACCCGAGUAGUC
rnacentral:rRNA from 1 species